CACGUAGGGGGCAAGCGUUGUCCGGAUUUAUUGGGCGUAAAGAGCUCGUAGGCGGUUUCGUAAGUCGGAUGUGAAAACUCCGGGCUCAACUUGGAGACGCCAUUCGAUACUGCGAUGACUUGAGUCCGGUAGGGGAGUGUGGAAUUCCUGGUGUAGCGGUGAAAUGCGCAGAUAUCAGGAGGAACACCGGCGGCGAAGGCGGCACUCUGGGCCGGUACUGACGCUGAGGAGCGAAAGCGUGGGUAGCAAACAGG
rnacentral:rRNA from 1 species